rnacentral:tRNA from 1 species
GUUUUAAUAGUUUAAAAAAAACACUGGUCUUGUAAACCAAAAUUAAUGAAUAUUUUAAAACA